rnacentral:rRNA from 1 species
UUCCAGACUCCUACGGGAGGCAGCAGUGAGGAAUAUUGGUCAAUGGGCGGAAGCCUGAACCAGCCAAGUCGCGUGAGGGAAUAAGGCCCUACGGGUCGUAAACCUCUUUUGCCGGGGAGCAAGGGCGGGGACGUGUCCCGGCCCGGAGAGUACCCGGAGAAAAAGCAUCGGCUAACUCCGUGCCAGCAGCCGCGGUAAUACGGAGGAUGCGAGCGUUAUCCGGAUUUAUUGGGUUUAAAGGGUGCGCAGGGGGAGGCACAGGUCGGGGGUAAAAUCGCGGGGCUCAACCCCGCUCCGCCGUUGAAACUGUGUCCCUUGAGUGCGCGAAGGGUAGGCGGAAUGCGUGGUGUAGCGGUGAAAUGCAUAGAUAUCACGCAGAACUCCGAUCGCGAAGGCAGCCUACCGGCGCGCAACUGACGCUCAUGCACGAAAGCGUGGGUAUCGAACAGGAUUAGAUACCCUCGUA